UACGUAGGGUGCGAGCGUUGUCCGGAAUUAUUGGGCGUAAAGAGCUCGUAGGCGGUUUGUCGCGUCGGCCGUGAAAUCUCCACGCUUAACGUGGAGCGUGCGGUCGAUACGGGCAGACUUGAGGUAUGCAGGGGAGAAUGGAAUUCCUGGUGUAGCGGUGAAAUGCGCAGAUAUCAGGAGGAACACCGAUGGCGAAGGCAGGUCUCUGGGCAUUAACUGACGCUGAGGAGCGAAAGCAUGGGGAGCGAACAGG
rnacentral:rRNA from 1 species